CAUUUUGAAGUGUAUAGAUAUAUUUUUUUUUUAUUUUUGGAUCAACAUAGGACUUAUACUUUAUGUUGUUUGCUUUCAAGAUAAUAUUUAUAUAUUGUAUAUGAUAAUGCUAACUUAGAUAAGUCAAUUAUCUUUUUAUAUUUUGAUAAAUGAAUCAAGACAAAGUAGCUGAGGUGGCCAUAUCUUUUGUGCUAUGGUUUGUUGAUGUUACUUUUUUCAAUAUUAUUAAUUUAAAAUCUAUGUAAACUAUUUAUUGAAUCUUGAUAUCCCACCAAAACAAAUUAAAUAGUUUGAUUAAAAUCCAAUAAUAAGAGCUGGAAAAUAAAAUGAUAUGACUUAUAUCAACUUUAGCUCCAACAAAUAUUAAGCUUUUCAUAAGAAUUAGUACAUAUUGAACAUUAAUUAUAUUUAUUUCACCAAAACCAAUUUAUAUAAUAGAAUUUUUAAUACCUUCAAUGUGAUGAAUUUUUUCCUUAUAAUUUUAAUAUUCUUUCUUGUAUUAGCUCUUGUGAUCUAGCUAAUGAUAUCUUUUGUAUCAAUAACAUAUGCAAUUGUACCACUAUCCAUGUACCAUUGUUGAGAAGAGCUUAUAAGACCAGAUAUCUAUGCAAUGACUACAUCAAGGUUUUCUACUGCAUUUGCAUAUGCUGAUUGCAUAAAUAGACCUCGACUCAAAUUUUCUUGUGGUAGCUAAUCUUGUAAGGCAAAGUAAUUUUCAAUAAUGUAAUAUAAUUGACUGCAAUUGUAACAAGUUAUCAUAUUUCUAAAAAAUCUUUAUUCUAGUAUACUUCAAUUCCUUCUAAAUUAGGUGCUUCUUCUUUAAUAUUAUCCCCUUUCUCUAUAGCCUUAAUUUGAAAUGUCUCCUUGAUAUUGUGCUCUAUUAUAAAAUUAAAAAUGUGUUGAUAAUUGAAUUGUAUAGUUAAAUUGUGCCGCUAGUAACCCUACAUCUCCAAGUUGUAUAAUUUUCUAUAUUUGCCAUGCUACUCCAAUGAACAACUUUGAUUUCAAUUAAUCAAAGGUGAAUAUAAUAUCUAGAUUGUUUAAGGAUUGAAUUCUUCUUUUUAAAUUUCUUACUAAACCAUUGAAUAGAAGUUAAUAGAUGCUUAUAUUGUAAAUAGGUUCAUCCAUGGAUAGAAGUUGGUUUCUUAUAUUUGUUGUUUUAUUGACAUAUUCUUCCAUCAAGCUCCUUUUGACAUCUUCAAUGUCUAUAGUUGGUUACUUAACAUUAAAAGUUGCCACUAUUUGCUAGAUGCAAACUUUUUGUCAUGCCAUUGACAAAAAUAGAGCUCACUUGUUGCUCAAUGUGAUGCAUGAAGCAAGGUCACUUCUAUUUCAACUUGUUGAAUACUUCUAAGAACAUUGCCUACUAGAUCUAAGUAGAACUCUGUUACACUAUCGCUUUGAUACCAUGUUAAACAAUGAUAUCUCACACUACUGUAUUUAAUAGAAUAAAAAGUGUAAUACUAAGAACCAAUACUUGGUACAUAUACAAGAGGUUCUCUAAUCAAGGAGGGACACGUGUCCUGGGGGUUAAGGUGUGCUACGAGAUGAAUGCUGUUCGUUGACGAGGAGAGCAAAAAAGUGAAGACACCCUGGGCGAGGAAGUCUUCAAUCUGACCCCUCCAAAUCCGAGUUGCAGCAGUGUCCUCCAUCACGUCAACCUCCUUUUUGACGGAAACUUAUUCAUUUUUGCAGAACGAACUCGAUUUUUCUCAAAUACAAGACUGGUGCUGUAUUUAGGACCUUCCUUGGCAUCCCCUGGAACAAAUGCGAUUUCUCAGCCGUCUGCUCUUGGGUUCUCCUCCUCCCCCCCCCCCCCCAACACAUUCUCUUUCACGAGACUGGAUUCCAAGUCGCCAAGGUCUUAAUCUGCAGCGGCUCAAUGGAAGACUGGAGAGCUGCCUCCACUCCAUUAAUAGGCUGCGGAGGGACGAUGGUUACGCCUGAAAACUCAACUUAGGUGAUGGAAGACAUGCUCGUUGCAGGCAACAUGGGCAACACGAUCGUUCUACCCACUUGGGAUGUUCUGAUCAAUGGUGGAGCGCAGACUGGCGGUCAGGGAUGGGGCACGACCUAGAAUACCUCAUCGCAGCGAUCCCAGUAUGUGAUUGAGGUGGGGCCUGGAUUGGAUUUCAGUUGCUUGCGGCCAACACUGUGCCGCGUGCGUAUCAUUUGAGAGCAAAUUUGUUGUCUGAUUGGCGCAUUCGAAUCUUCUACGUACGCGUGGGCUGAUCAUUCACAUCGAAUUGUGAGUGGAGGCCUUUUCGCCACUGUAUAAUAAUUUCGAGUAAACUCUGACUGCUUCACUCUCCAUCUUGAAGAUUGAAUUUGUUUGUGGCAAUUAGAACAGUGUGCAGAUCUGAAGGCCAGAGACCGAGCCUCACUGGAUGUGGUGUGGACCGUCACCUCCUAUCUAUCCUGCAUAAGCUAUCCUUAAGCCCAAAGCUAACGGCAUAUCAAACUCCGAACCCUGUAUCUUAGACAUCGCGAGCGAUAGCCGAACAUGACCCUGAUGAUCACAGAAACGAUUUUCGUAUUAUUUAUGCUGUGUGUCAGUAACGUAGUGCCGACAAGAGAUGAACUGUUGCACCUGAACAAGCUCAGGCUGGUCGAUAGCAAUCACAUACACUAGUCACCUUGAUCGUUGUAUCGAGAAUUCCGAACGGUGAACUAUUUACUUAUUGCUCAACAUUGAGUAAACUGGCAGAUUUAGGAAGCUUCGGUGUAUUGCUCAUUCAGUUCGUCGCCCUUACGGGGGUGGCAUUUCUGAUUAUGAACCAGCCGAAGCCUGUUUCAGGUCUGGCAGUGAAGAAGAUUCUCCACCCUGUAUUUGAUUAGUUAAUUUCUCAAUUCUGUCUACAUGAUUUCAAAUGAA